UGGGGGUAGAGCACUGGAUGGACGCGGGGGACUGGGGUCCUACCAAAUUCAACCAAACUUCGAAUACCAUAUUUUGUACCGUAGGAGUGAGACUACGGGUGAGAAGGUCCGUGGUCGUGAGGGAAACAGCCCAGACCGUCAGCUAAGGUCCCAAAGCGUAUGCUAAGUGUGGCAAGGAUGUGAGAGUGCCUGGACAGCCAGGAGGUUGGCUUAGAAGCAGCCACCCUUUAAAGAGUGCGUAACAGCUCACUGGUCGAGGACUUUUGCGCCGAGAAUGUAGGGGGCUAAGCAUACUGCCGAAGCUGCGGGAUAUGUGCAAGAGUGUAUAUAUCGGUAGGGGAGCGUUCCAUACGGGGCGAAGCAGAGCCGCGAGGUCAUGUGGACUGUAUGGAAGUGAGAAUGCUGGCAUGAGUAACGCGAAGUGCGUGAGAAACGUACUCACCGGAAGCCCAAGGGUUCCUGGGGAAGGUUCAUCCGCCCAGGGUUAGGCGGGACCUAAGGCGAGGCCGAGAGGCGUAGUCGAUGGAUAGCAGGUAGAUAUUCCUGUCCCAGCCAAUGAGCGUUAAUACCGAAGGGGUGACACAGAAAGCUAGGUGAUCCGGGUGAUGGAAGUCCCGGUCCAAGGGUGUAGGGAGUUUCCGCAGGCAAAUCCGCGGGAAUAAUUCUGAGACCUGAUGGGGAGGCCCUACGGGGUCGAAGUCAUUGAAGCUCGGCUGUCGAGAAAAGCCUCUAGGGAGUUUGUUGGUUGCUCGUACCCGAAACCGACACAGGUGGGCUAGCUGAGGAAGCUAAGGUGAGCGGGAAAACCCUCGUUAAGGAACUCUGCAAGUUGACCCCGUAACUUCGGGAGAAGGGGUGCCACUCUGGUGAAAUAUAAUCAUAUGGAGCUAAGGGUGGUCGCAGAAACCAGGCUCAGGCGACUGUUUACUAAAAACACAGGUCUCUGCAUAAGGCGUAAGCCGAAGUAUAGGGACUGACACCUGCCCGGUGCUGGAAGGUUAAAUGGAGAGGUUAGCGUAAGCGAAGCCUUGAUAUGAAGCCCCAGUAAACGGCGGCCGUAACUAUAACGGUCCUAAGGUAGCGAAAUUCCUUGUCGGGUAAGUUCCGACCUGCACGAAUGGUGUAACGAUCUGAGCACUGUCUCAACGAGGGACCCGGUGAAAUUGUGGUACUGGUAAAGACGCCAGUUACCUGUGGUGGGACGGAAAGACCCCGUGGAGCUUUACUGUAGCCUGAUAUUGGAUUUUGGUCUGUCAUGUACAGGAUAGGUGGGAGGCGUAGAAUGGAGGGCGUCAGCCUUUCAGGAGCCGUUGUUGGGAUACCACCCUUGACAUACCGAAGUUCUAACUGUUGAGUCUGAAUCGGCUGGCAGGACAUUGUCAGGUGGGCAGUUUGACUGGGGCGGUCGCCUCCUAAAGAGUAACGGAGGCGCGCAAAGGUCACCUCAGGGCGUAUGGAAACCGCCCAUAGAGAGCGCAAAGGUAUAAGGUGGCUUGACUGUGAGAGAGACAUCUCGAGCAGGAACGAAAGUUGGUCUUAGUGAUCCGGCGGUACCGAGUGGAAGGGCCGUCGCUCAACGGAUAAAAGCUACCCCGGGGAUAACAGGCUGAUCUUGCCCGAGAGUUCCUAUCGACGGCAAGGUUUGGCACCUCGAUGUCGGCUCGUCGCAUCCUGGGGCUGAAGCAGGUCCCAAGGGUUGGUCUGUUCGCCCAUUAAAGCGGUACGUGAGCUGGGUUUAGAACGUCGUGAGACAGUUCGGUCCCUAUCCACCAUAGGCGUAGGGUAUUUGAGGAGAUCUGCUUCUAGUACGAGAGGACCGAAGUGGACGAACCUCUGGUGUACCGGUUGUAGCGCCAGCUGCAUAAGCCGGGUAGCUAUGUUCGGGUCGGAUAACCGCUGAAGGCAUCUAAGCGGGAAGCCGCCUCCAAGAUGAGAUACCCCAUUCCGCGAGGAAGUAAGGUGUCCUGAAGAUGACAGGAUAGAUAGGCCGGGAGUGUACGAGCUGUGAGGCUUUGAGCUGACCGGUACUAAUACGCCGAGGCCUUAUUCUC
rnacentral:rRNA from 1 species